CGAGGGCCUCGCAUGGCCUCGCGUGGCCUCGAGCGGCCAAGGCGCGGUCUCGCGUGGCCUCGUGUGGCCGAGAUGAGACGCCGAGUUGGUGACGCGCAGACAUGGCCUCGCGGGUGAUAUGGGCGCCCCGCGAGACGCUGAGUAGGUGACGACGGCCUCGCGUGGGCGUGCUGAGAGCGAGGCGUGGCCUCGCGCCUGGCCACGGGCGAGGGUCUCGCAUGGCCGAGGCUAUAUGAGGCUAUAUGAGGAUAUAUGAGGCUAUAUGAGGAUCGGGUGGCUCGGAUCGCCUGAGGCUAUAUAUGAGGAUAGACCCCCAUAUUUUCCCUCGGUGGAAUUUGAGCGUCCACACUUGCCCCCCAGUCUAGGAGAGGACCUUUAGGUGCUCUUGUAGACUAUUCUCCUUGAUUCUUAUAAAUAGGCCCUCACGCAAGAUUUAUUAUUUUCACCUUACUUCAUUGGCUUAGUGGUUUUGAGAAUCCUUCCUCUUUCAAGAGACGCAUAUUUUCGACCAUUCGGUGCUUUUGGCCUUCGACCUCCUUUUGACCUCGACUGCACUCUAUUUUUCCUGCUUAAGGUAAGGGGAAAGGAAAACUGGACCAACCAUGAGUUGGAGAGCUUAGGUGGCAAUGUGUACAUAUGCGGCCGCUUGACCACCACGACCAAGGUUUAUCAAAGGAACUAAGGUUAAGCCCUAUUUUUGUUGCUUAGGUCGGCGGGUUGUAACUUUUGAGUUGUAAUGACCUUUUUGGAGCUGUAAUUUUUUUUUUAAAUGUUAUUUAUGGGAUCCCAUUUAUAGCUUAACGUUUUAAUGAAAUAUCGAUUCCUUUUGACCGAAAUUUUUAACCCUGGACCAUUAAUCACAUUUAGAUGCAUGUUUAUGGCCUAAGGACUCUUUUAGCGAGUUGAGUACUAUUUAAAAUUCACAGUGUAACGGUCUUGGCUAACCAGGGCGUUACACGUACAAUUGAAGCUCAAAUUUCACAUCUUCAUGAGGUGAAAUUAUCAAG